rnacentral:rRNA from 1 species
CGGGGGGAGCAAGCGUUGUUCGGAUUUACUGGGCGUAAAGGGCGCGUAGGCGGCCACCGCAAGUCGACUGUGAAAUCUCCGGGCUUAACUCGGAAAGGUCAGCCGAUACUGCGGGGCUAGAGUGCAGAAGGGGCAACUGGAAUUCUCGGUGUAGCGGUGAAAUGCGUAGAUAUCGAGAGGAACACCUGCGGCGAAGGCGGGUUGCUGGGCUGACACUGACGCUGAUGUGCGAAAGCUAGGGGAGCGAACGGGAUUAGAUACCCCGGUAGUGCUAGCCUGAAACGAUGAAUGCUUGGUGUCUGGGGUUUUAUAGUCCCCGGGUGCCGUCGCUAACGCUUUAAGCAUUCCGCCUGGGGAGUACGGUCGCAAGACUG